GUCCCUGCCAUGCAAUGGAUAGCAUGCUGGACCUUUAUCUCAAAGGUCGUGAGUUCCAAUCUCACCUGGGAUG